rnacentral:rRNA from 1 species
UACAGGGGCGGGGUGCUAAUACAUGCAAGUCGAGCGGAUUUUCUGGAGCUUGCUCCAGAAAGUUAGCGGCGGACGGGUGAGUAACACGUGGGCAAUCUGCCCGUAAGACUGGGAUAACUCCGGGAAACCGGGGCUAAUACCGGAUAACCCUGACUCUCUCCUGAGAGUCAGUUGAAAGAUGGUUUCGGCUAUCACUUACGGAUGAGCCCGCGGCGCAUUAGCUAGUUGGUGAGGUAACGGCUCACCAAGGCGACGAUGCGUAGCCGACCUGAGAGGGUGAUCGGCCACACUGGGACUGAGACACGGCCCAGACUCCUACGGGAGGCAGCAGUAGGGAAUCUUCCGCAAUGGACGAAAGUCUGACGGAGCAACGCCGCGUGAGUGAAGAAGGUUUUCGGAUCGUAAAACUCUGUUGUCAGGGAAGAACACGUACGAGAGUAACUGCUCGUACCUUGACGGUACCUGACCAGAAAGCCACGGCUAACUACGUGCCAGCAGCCGCGGUAAUACGUAGGUGGCAAGCGUUGUCCGGAAUUAUUGGGCGUAAAGCGCGCGCAGGUGGUUCCUUAAGUCUGAUGUGAAAGCCCCCGGCUCAACCGGGGAGGGUCAUUGGAAACUGGGGAACUUGAGUGCAGAGAGGAAAGUGGAAUUCCACGUGUAGCGGUGAAAUGCGUAGAUAUGUGGAGGAACACCAGUGGCGAAAGCGACUUUCUGGCCUGUAACUGACACUGAGCGCGAAAGCGUGGGGAGCAACAGGAUUAGAUACCCUGGUAGUCCACGCCGUAACGAUGAGUGCUAGUGUUGGGGGGGUAUCCGCCCCCUCAGUGCUGCAGCUAACGCAUUAAGCACUCCGCCUGGGGGAGUACGGCGGCAAGGCUGAAACUCAAAGAAUGACGGGGGCCCGCCACAAGCGGUGGGAGCAUGGUGGAUUAAUUCGAAGCAACGCGGAAGAACUUACAGGUCUUGGACAUCGCAUUGCCGUCUAGAGAAUAGGACUUUUCCGUCGGGGACAAUGGUGACAGGGUGGUGCAUCAUUGUCGUUCCAGCCUCUGUCUGGAAAUGUUGGUAGUUCCCGCAACGAGCGCAACCAUUGAACUUACUGGCAGACAUCAUGGCAGCUAGGUACUGCCGGUGACAAAAC